CACCGCGGUUAUACGAGAGGCCCAAGUUGAUAGACAACGGCGUAAAGAGUGGUUAGGGAAAAUUUUUAACUAAAGCCAAACGUCCUCAAAGCUGUCAUACGCUCCCGAGUUAAGAAGUCCUAGAACGAAAGUAGCUUUAAUAGACCUGACCCCACGAAAGCUGAGGAA
rnacentral:rRNA from 1 species